GAACCCUUUUGUAUUGCUUCAAGCCUUGUAUUAUUGCAUGUAUAUUUAUUGUUUCCAAAAGUACCUUUUAUAUGAAUUAAACUACUUUGGAUUAAGUAGUGUGUGUUUUGUAGCACUAGAAUCAAUAAUUGAAGUUGAUGUGUUUUCUUCAUUACAUUCUAUGGCAUGCAUGCACGCAUAAUACGUUUUAUCAUUAUUUAUAACAAAUCUUACAUUGCAAGUCUUUUUCUUUAUGCUUUUGUUCUUGUGUUUGAAGAAG
rnacentral:lncRNA from 1 species